UUCCGGUUGAUCCUCGCCUUGACCUGACUGCUAUCGGAUUGAUACUAAGCCAUGCGAGUCAUUGUAGCAAUACAAGGCAUACGGCUCAGUAACGCGUAGUCAACCUAACCUAUGGACGGGAAUAACCUCGGGAAACUGGGAAUAAUGCCCGAUAGAACAUUAUGCCUGGAAUGGUUUAUGUUCCAAAUGAUUUAUCGCCGUAGGAUGGGACUGCGGCCUAUCAGUUUGUUGGUGAGGUAAUGGCCCACCAAGACUAUUACAGGUACGGGCUCUGAGAGGAGUAGCCCGGAGAUGGGUACUGAGACACGGACCCAGGCCCUAUGGGGCGCAGCAGGCGAGAAAACUUUGCAAUGUGCGAAAGCACGACAAGGUUAAUCCGAGUGGUUCCUGCUAAAGGAACCUUUUGUUAGUCCUAGAACCACUAACGAAUAAGGGGUGGGCAAGUUCUGGUGUCAGCCGCCGCGGUAAAACCAGCACCUCAAGUGGUCAGGAUGAUUAUUGGGCCUAAAGCAUCCGUAGCCGGCUCUGUAAGUUUUCGGUUAAAUCUGUACGCUUAAUGUACAGGCUGCCGGGAAUACUGCAGAGCUAGGGAGUGGGAGAAGUAGACGGUACUCGGUAGGAAGUGGUAAAAUGCUUCGAUCUAUCGAUGACCACCUGUGGCGAAGGCGGUCUACUAGAACACGUCCGACGGUGAGGGAUGAAAGCUGGGGGAGCAAACCGGAUUAGAUACCCGGGUAGUCCCAGCUGUAAACUAUGCAAACUCAGUGAUGCAUUGGCUUGUGGCCAAUGCAGUGCUGCAGGGAAGCCGUUAAGUUUGCCGCCUGGGAAGUACGUACGCAAGUAUGAAACUUAAAGGAAUUGGCGGGGGAGCACCACAAGGGGUGAAGCCUGCGGUUCAAUUGGAUUCAACGCCGGA
rnacentral:rRNA from 1 species